GUAAUAUUUCUAACUCAGCUGCCUAUAACAGAUAUAUACCUCUCUCUAUCUGUUUAUCUAUCUAUCUAUCUAUUUAUCUAUCUAUCUAUCUAUGGUCUAUCUGUGCAGUUGGAGCCUGAGGCUCACCCCAGGCUAGUGAGAGUCUGCCCCAUCUGACUGCAUCAGGAGGACACCAGGAAUUAGUCCACUGUUCGCCAAUACUGAAGUCACCUUCAGCUCAGGGGUCUCCAUUGGACUGUGGGGGAAGAAGCUCCUUCUUAAUUCUACCUCUGAAACAGAUAGCCCAGAGCCUGUCACACCCUCCAGGGGUAACUGAGGACACCUCUGCUCUUCACUCAAGCCUGCAGUCUUUUGAGAAUCCCACAAGGAAAUCUGCUGAGCUGGUUAGCUCCCGGAGCAAAUCUGGAGCCUUGGAUGGUAGCAGGAAAGAAGCCACACUGGUUAAGUGGAGGCUGCUGGUCUGAGUAAACACCUUUGAAGAAAAGGGAAUCUAUUUGAUUCUUCUGCAGGAAGUGUUCGUGUGUUGUUGGGACCCAUACUGCUGAUUCCAAAAGCCUUCCACCCGGCCAUGGCAUCCUGCUCUCCUCCACCUUUGGAUCCUACAACGAUGAUUAGUACCCUCAGGUCAUGUUCCAGUCACUCAGCAGAUAAACAAUCCGGACAUACCAUUUAGGUUGUUCUUCCGGUGAUGACAUUUGUGGAAGUGUCCCUGAAAUGUGAGCUCAGUGUAGCUGCCCUAAAACUAUAUUCAAGGAUGCUAGUCAUACCCAAGGUGAACUAAUAAAAGUCCACAUGAA